rnacentral:rRNA from 1 species
GACGAACGCUGGCGGCGUGCUUAACACAUGCAAGUCGAACGGUGACCCAGGGCUUGCCCUGGUGAUCAGUGGCGAACGGGUGAGUAACACGUGGGCAACCUGCCCCCUGACUUCGGGAUAACUCCUCGAAAGAGGAGCUAAUACCGGAUACGACCACUUCGGACAUCCGAUGGUGGUGGAAAGUUUUUCGGUCAGGGAUGGGCCCGCGGCCUAUCAGCUAGUUGGUGGGGUAAUGGCCUACCAAGGCGACGACGGGUAGCCGGCCUGAGAGGGCGACCGGCCACACUGGGACUGAGACACGGCCCAGACUCCUACGGGAGGCAGCAGUGGGGAAUAUUGCGCAAUGGGCGAAAGCCUGACGCAGCGAC